AUUGAACGCUGGCGGCAUGCCUUACACAUGCAAGUCGAACGGUAACGCGGGGCAACCUGGCGACGAGUGGCGAACGGGUGAGUAAUGCAUCGGAACGUGCCCAGUUGUGGGGGAUAACUGCUCGAAAGAGCAGCUAAUACCGCAUACGACCUGAGGGUGAAAGCGGGGGAUCGCAAGACCUCGCGCACUUCGAGCGGCCGAUGUCGGAUUAGCUAGUUGGUGGGGUAAAGGCCCACCAAGGCGACGAUCCGUAGCUGGUCUGAGAGGACGACCAGCCACACUGGGACUGAGACACGGCCCAGACUCCUACGGGAGGCAGCAGUGGGGAAUUUUGGACAAUGGACGCAAGUCUGAUCCAGCCAUGCCGCGUGCGGGAAGAAGGCCUUCGGGUUGUAAACCGCUUUUGUCAGGGAAGAAAUCUUCUGGGUUAAUACCUCGGGAGGAUGACGGUACCUGAAGAAUAAGCACCGGCUAACUACGUGCCAGCAGCCGCAGUAAUAC
rnacentral:rRNA from 1 species